AUAAAUGCUAUGAUGAAGAGGAGUAUCUUGUAACUGCUUAACAGAGAGUAGGUUGUUGGUGGAAGACCUAUAAGUAAGUGCGAGGGAAGGUAGCUUUGGAGCAGCAUCAGUGAACAUUUAAAAACUAUCAGUAGCUGAUGACGAUUCGUCCCCGUUAAGGAUAUGAUAAGUAAAACAAAAGGUGGUACCGCGGAUAUUCGCCCUUUUA
rnacentral:ncRNA from 1 species